UAGCAGCGGGAACACUACU
rnacentral:miRNA from 1 species